rnacentral:misc_RNA from 1 species
GGUGCUUGUGUUUAACUUGGUAAAUUACUAUAAUCAGCUUAUUGUGAACGCCAGAGCUGGUGAAUAUGCUGCUACAAAAUUUGGUUCCAAGUUCUAUUGAAUCUGCUCUACGUUUUGCCUCUAUUCAUUGGGAAAAAGAUAUGUUACCUGGGUGGGUGGCUGCAAAAGCCUGGAAGGUUUGUUCAGAACGCAGCGAAUUCCCUCAGGAUGCUUCAAAUCCAUUGAAUACCAGCAGCUCUUAUGCAACUCCAGAAUCAAAUGGGAGGUGCAAGCGAAGAAAACUUCAGAAAAAGUCUGCUAUAGUAUUCCCAGUUGAGCCAGAAACUGAUGAAGCACCCACUAACACAUUCAAGAGUGGUCAUAUAAAGACAGAUAUUGUUUCUGGAAUUGAUGAUAGCGUUGAAUCUUCUAUCAUUUCUGGUGAAAAAUGCGAGGAAGGCAUUGGCAGCGAAUGCCAC